AGGGGUGUGGCUCAGUGGCAGAGCGCAUGCUUAUUAGCUAUGCAUGAGGUCCUGGGUUCAAUCCCCAGUGCCUCCU